CCUACGGGAGGCAGCAGUGGGGGAUAUUGCACAAUGGGGGAAACCCUGAUGCAGCAACGCCGCGUGGGUGAAGAAGUGUUUCGGUGUGUAAAGCCCUGUCAGCAGGGAAGAAAAUGCCGGUACCUAACUAAUAAGCACCGGCUAACUCCGUGCCAGCAGCCGCGGUAAUACGGAGGGUGCGAGCGUUCUCCGGAUUUACUGGUUGUAACGGGCGCGUAGACGGCUGGUCAAGUCAGAAGUGAAGUCCCCGGGCUUAACCACGGAACUGCUUUUGAAACUGAAAAGCUAGAGUGUUGGAGAGGUAAGUGGAAUUCUUGGUGUAGGGGUGAAAUGCGUAGAGAUCAGGAGGAACACCAGUGGCGAAGGCGGCUUACUGGAACGUAACUGACGCUGAGGCGCGAAAGCGUGGGGAGCAAACAGGAUUAGAUACCCGAGUAGUC
rnacentral:rRNA from 1 species